UACGUAGGGUGCGAGCGUUAAUCGGAAUUACUGGGCGUAAAGCGUGCGCAGGCGGUUUUGUAAGCCGGAUGUGAAAUCCCCGGGCUUAACCUGGGAAUGGCAUUCGGGACUGCAAGGCUGGAGUGCGGCAGAGGAGACUGGAAUUCCUGGUGUAGCAGUGAAAUGCGUAGAUAUCAGGAGGAACACCGAUGGCGAAGGCAGGUCUCUGGGCUGACACUGACGCUGAGAAGCGAAAGCAUGGGGAGCGAACAGG
rnacentral:rRNA from 1 species